CAGCAGCCAGGCAGACUAGAGGAAAUGGUAAGGGGGAUGGGGGCGGCUCUGGCUUGCUUGGUUUCUGAGACAAUUCUGCCCUCUGGUGGUCCACAUCAUUGACAGUGGUGGAGAGCAAAGAUGCAGAACUUUCCUCUGGGCACGUUUCCUGCAGUAACUCUGCCCGGUUCAGCGCUUUGGGUCUAGCUUGUUUGCCACGAGGAGAUGCUGUGAUGGAUGGUGGUACAUAGAAUGCUCAUAGGUUCAGAGGCCAGAAAAGGACCGCUGUGAUCAUCCUGUUUGAUCUCCUGCAUAACACAGGACAUAGAACUUUCGCUAAAUGAUUAUUCCUGCUUGAACUACAGUUUCCUCCCUCAGUGCUGCUGCUUCUGUCAUUCUGUCUCUGAAGGGCCUGGACCACAACUCAGCUGAGGAAACGGAAGCAACAAGAGGUUACGUGACUUUGCUGAAGAUCGGAGCAUGAGCCAAUGGCAGCGCUAGGAACAGAACCCCAGGCUCCUACUUCCUUAACCAUAUGUCCUGGCCGCUGAAAGACAGCCACCUUCGUCAUGCUUGGGAACAUCUCCCAGACGAGGAUGAGGAUGAGAAAUGUUAUUCAGCGGAACAGAACCUUUAAAAGUCAACAGGCUGCCAGUUAACUCAUUGGUUGCUAGCAUUUUCCAUAGUGCCAGCCGAAGGAGAGCAGAGGAUAACAGACAAUGUAUGUCUGUGUAUAUUUCAGAGGAGUUACUUGCAACAUCUUUCCAAGCUGAGUUCCUGAUAAGACCUUGCUUCAUAGUGAUAAGGAAACUAUGUUACUGUUAGGAAGACUGCCUCCUUAUCUGUCUCUCUUAAAGCAACAAUUACAGAUGACUGAGUUAAAGUUGCUAGGGGGCUCUCAUCCCAGGACUGAACUUUGCAGACUCACCUAGUAAAACCCACAUGUGCUGACGUGUUCUCAAUUCUUAGCCCAGGGUAAAGUGAAGUUUCAUUCUUUUUAAUUCUUAAUCCCUCUGAAAAAAAUAAUGAAAAACAAUCACCUCACUGUGACUUUAUGGAUGAAAGGUUACACACGGAAAACUCACGAAAGUCAAAGUUAGCCACCGCAACUCUAUUCAGGCCCCUUGCCUGGUGUUCUCUAAAGUUAUAUAUGGUAAGGAAUAAAAGUUAGGUGCAGUGUAGCAGUUACAGUUACCACGGGAACCAUAACCAGUGUGUGUGAAAGUUCCACACCAACCGUUUGCAUCGAAACAGUUUCUUGCAUUUAAAACAACAGGAGUGAAUGACCAUCAACCAAAACUACAAGUCUGGCCCUACAAGGAGCUGAUUUGCCUAUGGCAGGGGUUCUCAAACUGGGGGUC